rnacentral:rRNA from 1 species
UUGGGGUUAAUAUUCCAGUACUUUUUAUAACUGCGAUGCGGUGACGGAGUAGUGAAACUGACGCGAACUGACGGAAUAGUUCGUUAAAGGCCGUAGGUAUAGGAUUUGUAGUUAAGUACGCAGAUCUUGCUGAAAGCUGAUAGUACGCAGAACCUUCGGGGGAUGUGAUAGUUCAGGUAAUCAGACUUCCAAGAAAACCCGCUAAGCUUCAGGUUAUAAAAACCCGUACCGUAAACCGACACAGGUAGUCGAGGAGAGAAUCCUAAGGUGCUCGAGUGAAUCAUGGCUAAGGAACUCGGCAAAAUGGCCCUGUAACUUCGGGAGAAGGGGCGCUUCAGCAAUGAAGCCGCAGUGAAAAGGCCCAGGCGACUGUUUAACAAAAACACAUGGCUAUGCAAAAUCGAAAGAUGACGUAUAUGGCCUGACACCUGCCCGGUGCCGGAAGGUUAAGAGGGGAUGUUAGGGUUAAACCGACGCAUUGAAUCGAAGCCCCGGUAAACGGCGGCCGUAACGAUAACGGUCCUAAGGUAGCGAAAUUCCUUGUCGGGUAAGUUCCGACCUGCACGAAUGGUGUAACGAUCUGGGCGCUGUCUCAGCCAUGAGCUCGGUGAAAUUGUGGUAUCGGUGAAGACGCCGGUUACCCGCAACGGGACGGAAAGACCCCAUGCACCUUCACUACAACUUAACAUUGAAAUCGGCUACAGGAUGUGUAGGAUAGGUGGGAGACUGUGAUCUGGCUUCGCUAGGAGUCAGUUAGUCAACGUUGAAAUACCACCCUUUCUGUAUCUGGUGUCUAACUCCCUAAUGGGGAGGACAUUGUUUGGCGGGUAGUUUGACUGGGGUGGUCGCCUCCAAAAAGGUAACGGAGGCUUUCAAAGGUAAGCUCAGUACGCUUGGUAACCGUACGCGGAGUGCAAUAGCAUAAGCUUGCUUGACUGUGAGGCAGACAAGCCGAGCAGGGUCGAAAGACGGAUAUAGUGAUCCGGUGGUUCUGCAUGGAAGGGCCAUCGUUCAAAGGAUAAAAGGUACGCUGGGAUAACAGGCUGAUCUCCCCCAAGAGCUCAUAUCGACGGGGAGGUUUGGCACCUCGAUGUCGGCUCGUCACAUCCUGGGGCUGGAGAAGGUCCCAAGGGUUGAGCUGUUCGCUCAUUAAAGUGGCACGCGAGCUGGGUUCAGAACGUCGCGAGACAGUUCGGUCCCUAUCUGUUGUGGGCGCAGGAAGUUUGAGUGGGGCUGACCUUAGUACGAGAGGACCGGGUUGGACGAACCUCUGGUGAAUCUGUUAUGGCGCCAGCUGUAUUGCAGAGUAGCUACGUUCGGAAUAGAUAAGCGCUGAAUGCAUCUAAGUGCGAAACUAGCCACAAGAUGAGACUUCCAUUGAGGGUCGUAGCAGACUACUACGUUGAUAGGUUACAGGUAUAAAGGUGGUGACAUCAUAGCCGAGUAAUACUAAUCGCCC